ACCACCCAAACCCUAUCCCAUCCCACUCCAUCGUCGGCACUCCCAGAUGCAAUCUCGCCGCCACUCCAUCCUCUCCAGCUCGCACACGCUGGCCGCCGCCACGUCCGCCGCCGCGGCCGCACUUAGGGUGCAACGGCCUCCUCCCCGCUCGCCGCCCUCCCCGCACACCGACUUUAGAGGCUGGAUCGAGCCCAUCCCCGCCAAAGUUCCUCCUCCUCCUCCCUUCCAGAUUCCCCAACCCAAGCACCAGCCUCGCCGCUGACCAACUCCUCCCCCCCAACCCCGCUGCCGCCGGCCUCCUCUUCUCCAACCCGGGCUCUCUCCCAUCGUUGCACCGCUGCCGCCCCCACCCUCUUCCCUUCCCAAGCUGCUCAGGCAGCGCCCAGAUCCGCCACCGCCAGGACUCCGGCGGCUCUCCCGACGCCGAUGAUCCCAAUUGCGGCGGAGCUGGGGCUGAGCCCUCCAGGACUCUUCAAGAACCCGACGACCACUACUCCGCGCCUGCCUCCCCUCUCAGCACUCGCCCGUCCAGACAGCCCCCGGGGACCUUGGUCGUCCCCAACGAGGGCUCCGCCUCGUCCUCCGCCUGGGGAUCUGAUGACGACAAUCCCACAGACAGGUACUGGUCAUCGACUACAAGCUAACCUACCCAAGUGGGACUGCCACUGCCGUUCUCAUAAACGGUUUCCACACACCUCAAGGAGAUAAGAAUGCAAGGUAGCAGGUCCAUGGGUUCCUCAAGUACUUUGGGAUCAGCUUCUUCUGGAGCUUCUUCUAGUGGUUCUACACUGGCGGCGACGUCUGCGGCUUCCUCCAGUUCCCCACCUUCGGGCUUAAAUCCUGGAAGCAAACGUAACUUCCAUAUGACUUUUUUUUCUUGCUGAACAAUUUGUAAGUCUAACUAGUUAAAAAUGCACAGGCUUGGAAAAAUUCACGAAUGUAGGUUCUUGUAGGUGUCCAUGCUUAGAAAGAUUUGUCAGUUUUAAUUUUCUGCUUCGUUGUAUACUUGUUUAAUACCCUGCAAAUAUACAACCUACUGUCUCUUAGAUAACAAAAAGAAAUGUGAGAGUUGAUAGCAAAUAUUAUGCUUUCGUUUUUCUUUGCUUGAUUAUGUUGGCAUGAUUGGAUGAUUUGUUUCUUGAUAGGGUCAUGUAGCAUCAUGCAGUAGCUCUGAUGACUAAUUAGCAUGCAUUAUUAGUUUCAAUGCUAUGUAGCAUCAUGGAAUGGUUCCGAUAACUUGUUAGCAUGUUUUGUUAGUUCUAGAGAAAAAGCAAAAUCCUAGCUCCGGCUGCUUCAUGAUCCUCUGGUUCUACUUUUACCUCCCUGUUGUCAUGUGAAUUGCUCUGUUGUUAUCUAGCAGUUCAUUUGAGGCAUGAUUGAACAAGUGUACUGCUUCAUUUGUAGGUCUAAUCACUCUCAUGGUGCAUUUGUUGUAUAAAAUUGAUGUCGUGCUUGCCGUCGCCACACAUCAGUUGGGCUGUUAGGUUCAAUCCCUUCUGAGUUCUUCGGAGUCCAAUAUUGGUCCAUAUAUAUAAUAUAUUGAUGUUGUUCUUGUAAGGAUGGAUGUGUUGUGUGGUUGGCCAAUAUAUGUUUGGCUGGUGCAAAAUCCUCAUGAUAUAAAUUGUUGUGGUUUCUACUGCACUUAAAACUGUACUGAAUCUGCAAUAAACCUUAUGACAUACAUAGUAGUUGCCAGUACCCCUGUUUCAGGGGGGAGUUAUAGAGGCGUUGCCAGAGUUGUAAAAUUUGCUCGUUUGUUUGAGAGUUUGGGUUCUAUGUCUUGAACAGCACAUAACACUGUUUGACUCCAAAGCUGGCUUCAACCACACAUGAACAAGGAUGAAUGGGCACCAGCAUAUGUUAUCCUAAAAUUGGCUAACUGUGGCUCAUAUUGUUUUCCCCAGGUAGCUCAUGGCGAGUGAUGCGUGAGCCGUCUCGAUCCUUUUGCUCUGUUAUUAUAUUUUAGCCAUGAAGGAUUUACUGCUAGUCAGUUCGUAGUGGUUCCGGCUGUUUGCUGAACUUCUGUUCUUGCUUGUGCUAUUUUUUUACUGUUUAGAUGGCUCAUUUUACUUCCAAUUUUACUCUUGAGUUUUCCCAUGCACGCAUACUCUGUUAAUUUAUUCCGAGUGCCCAUAGUUCCCUCUCUAGUAGCACCACCUGUGCUCUUGUCUCACCCAUAACAACAAUUUACUAGUAGUAUGUCUCUUGGCAUGGGUGCUACCUUAGGUCCCUUCUACUAAUACUCCACUUAGUAACUUGUCUGCAUUCUAUUACUUUGUACAUAUGUGUGUGAGCUGUGUUAUAUUCAUCUUCCUCAAGUACUAAAACACUGGUAGUUGUACACAUAUGAUGGUGAUUCGCUCCGGCCAUUCCAGUUUUGGCGGUGGUGGUGCUGCUGCUCCUAUGAUGGUAGACUCGUCUGAUUCCCCUAGCUGCAUCCAUGGUGAUGAAGCUCGGCCUAGGCUAGAACCCCCUUGAGUGAGCCCCUCAAGUCCUCUUAUACCCCUCCUACUUGCUUGUUGGUUCUAUGCUCUACCUUUGUGAGGUGUAAUUGUUCAAUUUUGUUCAUAGUUGAGCAUUGGAUGAUAUUGUAUUUUUCAUGAUGUACAUGGUUCAUGAACUAUGCCAACCUGCAGCUUUGUUGUACUAGUGAUAGUAGGAUAAUGCAAUUUUUGACAAUCCAUGCAUAUUUCCACAUCAUAAUAAUCUUCUUCUUCUAGUAUUCUUCUUCUAACUUUCUUCUUUCCCAUUUUACAGAUUUGCUUAAGAUCACGGAAGCUUGGGUUGAUGGAGUGCUUGUAUUUAGUUUUUGUUUUGACCUUGUGAAACUUGCUACCUAUGGAUGAAACUGUGUAAUAUUGAUGAAACUAUGUAUACGUACGGAUGAAACUUGCUACUAUUGGUAACAUGUGUUGGAUAUAUAUGUGUUCAUGACUA